rnacentral:rRNA from 1 species
UACGUAGGGUGCAAGCGUUAAUCGGAAUUACUGGGCGUAAAGCGUGCGCAGGCGGUUAUGUAAGACCGGUGUGAAAUCCCCGGGCUUAACCUGGGAACUGCAGUCGGGACUGUCUAGCUAGAGUAUGGGAGAGGGAAGUGGAAUUUCAGGUGUAGCGGUGAAAUGCGUAGAUAUCUGAAGGAACAUCAGUGGCGAAAGCGACUUCCUGGACCAAUACUGACGCUCAUGUGCGAAAGCGUGGGGAGCAAACAGG